rnacentral:rRNA from 1 species
CAGUAGCCGCGGUAAUACGAGGGGGGCAAGCGUUGUUCGGAAUUAUUGGGCGUAAAGGGUGCGUAGGCGGCUUGACAAGUCUUGUGUGAAAUCUAUGGGCUCAACCCAUAGUCUGCACGGGAAACUGUCGGGCUUGAGAGUGGGAGAGGUGAGUGGAAUUUCCGGUGUAGCGGUGAAAUGCGUAGAUAUCGGAAAGAACACCAACGGCGAAAGCACUCUGCUGGGCCGACACUGACACUGAGAGACGAAAGCUAGGGGAGCAAAUGGGAUUAGAUACCCCAGUAGUCCCUGUCUCUAUACA